rnacentral:rRNA from 1 species
GAUGAACGCUGGCGGCGUGCCUAAUACAUGCAAGUCGAGCGAACAGACGAGGAGCUUGCUCCUCUGACGUUAGCGGCGGACGGGUGAGUAACACGUGGAUAACCUACCUAUAAGACUGGGAUAACUUCGGGAAACCGGAGCUAAUACCGGAUAAUAUAUUGAACCGCAUGGUUCAAUAGUGAAAGACGGUUUUGCUGUCACUUAUAGAUGGAUCCGCGCCGCAUUAGCUAGUUGGUAAGGUAACGGCUUACCAAGGCAACGAUGCGUAGCCGACCUGAGAGGGUGAUCGGCCACACUGGAACGGAGACACGGUCCAGAGUCCUACGGGAGGCAGCAGUAGGGAAUCUUCCGCAAUGGGCGAAAGCCUGACGGAGCAACGCCGCGUGAGUGAUGAAGGUCUUCGGAGCGUAAAACUCUGUUAUUAGGGAAGAACAAAUGUGUAAGUAACUAUGCACGUCUUGACGGUACCUAAUCAGAAAGCCACGGCUAACUACGUG